AUGUUUUCUAUCUAGCCUAACCACCACCCCCCCCCCCAUCUUCAACCAAUAAAACAUUCACCAUGCUUAGUCUAUGAGAUAAAAAAGUCCUACAGAGCCUAUAAAUUAGUACGGCACGGGAUUAAUGAAAUAAAGUGAAAUAUUUUAAAACACUAAAAAGCAGAGAUAUUAACUCGUACCUUUUGCAUCAUGGCCUAACAAGUCUAAUCAGGCAAGACGAAUUUUAGUCUGACCUCCCGAAACUAAGUGAGCUACUCCGGGGCUACCAAUGUAAACCCGUCUCUGUUGCAAAAGAGUGGGCAAACCCCUGAGUAGAGGCGAAAAACCUACCGAACCUAGUAAUAGCUGGUUGCUUAGGAAAAGGAUUUAAGUUCUUUCUUAAAAAUACUCAGGCACCCAAACAGGCAAACCCUAUUUUUAAGAACUAUUCAAUAAAGGUACAGCUUUAUUGAAGAAGGAGACAACCUAAACCUUAGGAUAAUGAUUAUAAUCUUUAAGGAGAUCUAGAUUAAGUUGGCCUAAAAGCAGCCACCUCUAAUAGCGUCAAAGCUUCACCUCACCUCUUCCCUUAAUUCCACUACACCAUCAAAAUCCAACAUCACUACUAAGCCAUUUUAUAUCAAUAUAGAAGAAUUAAUGUUAGGACUAGUAACAAAGAAGAACUUCUCUUUUAUAUAAGUUUAGAUCAGCUCGAAUACCUCCCUGAUAAUUAUCCAACCUUGAAUCUAUAGUAGUACCCCUUAAUUUUAAAAACCCUACUAAAAUAAUUGUUAAUCAGACAUAUGAAUAUAAAAGAAAGAUAUAAAAAUUAAGAAGGAACUCGGCAAACACAAAUCCCGCCUGUUUACCAAAAACAUCGCCUUUUGAAUUAUAUAAAAGGUAACGCCUGCCCAGUGACCCUGUGUUAAACGGCCGCGGUAUCCUGACCGCGCAAAGGUAGCGUAAUCAUUUGUCUUUUAAAUGAAGACUUGUAUGAAAGGCAUUACGAGGACUUAACUGUCUCCUUAAUUUAAUCAGUGAAACUGAUCUUCCCGUAAAAAAGCGGGAAUAAAACCAUUAGACGAGAAGACCCUAUGGAGCUUAAAACCUCAAGCUACUUGUCUAACUUUCUCACAGAAUAUUAUUAAUAAACAAGCCUAGUCUAAGUUUUCUGUUGGGGUGACUGUGGAGAAAAACUAAUCCUCCAUGAAGAAUAGACUUAGAGCUACCGCUCUUAGUAUUAGUAAACCUAACUUUAAUUGACCCAAUCUUUGAUCAACGGACUAAGUUACCCUAGGGAUAACAGCGCCAUCCAUUUCAAGAGUCCAUAUCGACAAAUGGGUUUACGACCUCGAUGUUGGAUUAGGACACCCCAGUGGUGUAGCCGCUACUAAAGGUUCGUUUGUUCAACGAUUAAACU
rnacentral:rRNA from 1 species